rnacentral:rRNA from 1 species
AAAGGUACUCAAGGGCACUGUAGUGGAUGCCUAGACGUAUAUUACCGAUGAAGGACGUGGAAGACUGCGAUAAGCUUCGGGUAGCUGCCAACAAGCUAUGAUCCGGAGAUUUCCGAAUGGGAAAACCUAGCAUGAGGAAAGUCAUGUUGUCCUGCGCUGAAUACAUAGGCGUAGUGAACGGGAACCAUCUGAACUGAAACAUCUUAGUAGGAUGAGGAAAAGAAAGUAAAUAACGAUUCUCGGAGUAGUGGCGAGCGAAACGGGAAGAGCCCAAACCUUAUAAGUUUUUGCCUGUUCGCAGGCAAAUAAGCUGAUAGGCGAAUGCUUACAAGGGGUUGUGAUAUUACACACGACCAAGCCAGAGAACUUGAAUUUGUUCGAGGUAUCUGGUUUGCGACUACUGGCUAUCGACGGUAGGUAAGGUAAGAAAACAGCGUGGUUAGCAGAAUAGUUUGAAUGACUAGCCAAAGAACGUGAAAGCCGUGUACGCAAAAACGACGCUGACCUUAUAUGUGUUUUAUCGAGUAGGACGGGGCACGAGAAACCCUGUUUGAAUCUGGCUGGACCACCAGCCAAGGCUAAAUAUAAUAUACGAUCGAUAGUGAACUAGUACAGCGAUGGAAAGGUGAAAAGAACCCCGGGAGGGGAGUGAAAUAGAUCCUGAAAUUUAGUGCCUACAAGGAGUCGGAGCCGGCUUGUCCGGUGACGGCGUGCUUUUUGUAGAACGAUCCAGCGAGUUAAUUUCGUGCGCAAGGUUAAGCCAGUUGGCGGAGCCACAGUGAAAGCGAGCCUGAAUAGGGCGAUUAAGUGUACGGGAUUAGACCCGAAACCGGGUGACCUAACCAUGAGCAGGUUGAAGCCACUGUAACAGGUGGUGGAGGACCGAACCAGGAUACGCAGCAAAGUGUUUGGAUGACUUGUGGUUAGCGGUGAAAUGCCAAUCGAACUCGGAGAUAGCUGGUUCUCCUCGAAACAGUUUUAGGACUGGCGUCAUGUGGUAGCAGUCGGGGGUAGAGCUCUGUAAAGGACUGGGGGGAGCAAUCCUACCCACCCUUAACAAACUACGAAUACCGGCUGUGGAAUCAUGGCAGUUAGAACGGCGGAGCUAAGUUCGUCGCUCAAAAGGGAAACAGCCCAGACCAUCGUCUAAGGUCCCUAAAUUUACGUUAAGUGGGAAACAAGGUGAGAUUUCUUAAACAGCUAGGAUGUUGGCUUAGAAGCAGCCAUUCAUUUAAAGAGUGCGUAACAGCUCACUAGUCAAGAGAUCUUGCGUGGAAAAUGUAACGGGGCUAAACGUAAUACCGAAGACAUGGGUCUAUGCAUUAGCAUGGGCGGUAGAGGAGCGUUCCUAUCGGCAGUGAAGCAGCAUUGUAAAGUGCUGUGGAGCGGUAGGAAGUGAGAAUGCUGGAAUGAGUAACCAUAAGAGAGGUGAGAAUCCUCUCGGCCGUAAGAGCAAGGUUUCCUGAGCUAUGGUAAUCAUCUCAGGGUUAGUCGGGCCUAAGCCGAGGCGCAUAGCGUAGGCGAUGGACAUCAGGUUGAUAUUCCUGAACCGGCGUAGUUUGUACACUGUUCACGGGGAAGUAAUCGAAGCGGAUUCAUGGUUUAUCCGUCCAACCGAGCGGGAACGCAAAGGGAGUGAAAGUUACUCUGCGGAGUGAUGAUUCUGGAAAAGGCUCUGGCUAGAAAAGCAGGUGUACGCGUGGCUAUGUCCGCCCGUACCGCAAACCAACACAGGUGCUCGAGUCGAGUAGACUCAGGCUUACGAGUGAACCUUCGCUAAGGAACUCGGCAAUACAGCGACCGUAACUUCGGAAUAAGGUCUGCCCCCACUUCGGUGGAUAUGUUGUCGGUUUCAAAGCUAGCAGGUGUGGUUGAAGAGUAUCUUUAAUACAUCAAUUCUUCUUGAGAUAGAACCAAUAGCUUUUGGAACUGAAGCUCAACGCAUCUAGCGAUGUGGGGGCCGCAGCAAAAGAGCCCACGGAACUGUUUAUCAAAAACACAGCUCUCUGCUAACACGAAAGUGGAUGUAUAGGGGGUGACUCCUGCCCGGUGCUGGAAGGUUAAGGGGAGUGCUUCACGGUACGAACUGAAGCCCCAGUGAACGGCGGCGGUAACUAUAACCGUCCUAAGGUAGCGAAAUUCCUUGUCAGGU